AAUAUUGGACAAUGGGGGCAACCCUGAUCCAGCCAUGCCUCGAGUGUGAAGAAGGUCUUCGGUUUGUAAAUCACUUUACGUUGGGAGGAAGGGCUUUAGGUUCAUCCCCUGAAGUUUUGACGUUACCAACAGAAUAAGCACCGGCUAACUCUCUGCCAGCAGCCGCGGUAAUACAGAUGGUGCAAGCGUUAAUCGGAAUUACUGGGCGUAAAGCGCGCGUAGGUGGUUCAGUAAGAUGGGUGUGAAAUCCCCGGGCUUAACCUGGGAACUGCUUUCAUAACUGCUGAGCUAGAGUACGGUAGAGGGUAGUGGAAUUUCCUGUGUAGCGGUGAAAUGCGUAGAUAUAGGAAGGAACACCAGUGGCGAAGGCGACUACCUGGACUGAUACUGACACUGAGGUGCGAAAGCGUGGGGAGCAAAC
rnacentral:rRNA from 1 species